AUGGAACAUUCCAAGGGACCUAGUGAACCUCCUCUCCCGGGUGACGCCGGGGGCACCCCCGGCUCCGCUCGGGCCGGGCUCUCCUGCACCCAGGGACAGCGUAAGGACAGGCCUGCGGGCCGGCUGCGUGGCCAGGACGGCGGGGAGGAGGGCGGACGGGGAGGCCCGCCGCCCCCGGUGAGCCUGUCCAGGCCCCGCGGCCCCAGCCUUAUUUGGUCAGAGGCUGCGCCGGCCGCUGGCCGAGCUGCUGGGGGCACCGGGGAGGCCCCGCGCCACCUCCCCACCGGGCCCCCUGGCCGGAGGCGGGCACUCGGGGGGUGCGGGGUGGCGAGGGUCAGGCCCAGGCCACCGUGGCCUCCCUGGGCUCCCAGCCGGGAGGGGACAGGGGUUCCCCGGCUUUUGCCUAUAUAUGGCCGAGGAGAGGCGGCAGCGCUCGGCCGGGCCCCCGGGCCCCGGAGGUAUUGUCUUAAGAGGGUGUUUGGCAUCGGGCAGGGAGGCUUGGAUUCUUGUACAAUCCUGGCAGGGAAAUUGUUUGACAGCUUUGACGGUGUUGGUGUUCUGGAGUCUCCGCGAGGAGCCUGGCCCCGAGGGCCGAGGGCACGCGGCCCAUCACCAGGCGGGCCCCAAGGAGUCGGAUGCUCCUGUCGUCCCUGCUGACGGACGAGGAAGCCAAGGCCCAGAGAAGGAAGGGGAUUCAGGACUCCGGGCUCUUCCUCCAACCCUGUGGGGACCUCAUCAGGCCAAUGCUCGUUGUUCACAAACGCGUUCACAAGCGUGUCCUGAGCUCGGCUCUGGGCCGGGCAUCAUCCCAGGCUUGGGGGACCACAGUGAACCAGCUAAGAAAUGGCUUGUCCCCAAGAGAAACAUCCUGUCAAGUAAGGUACCCAGAGAAGGUCUCUCUGUGCAGAUGAUCUUUAAACUGAGGCCCAAAGACAACACAGAGUCAGUCCUGGGAGUAACAGAGGUGGUGUCACAGGCGGAGGAAAUAGCACGUGCAAAGGCCCUGAGGCAGGGAGAAGCAUGAUCAGGCCUGGGCCAGCCAGGAGGCCAGGGUGGUUGGGGCAGAAGGUGCAGUCACAGGUCGCGAUCACAGGAGCUUCAAAGGUUCACGUCAGGAGGGGGGUGGGUUUUACCCCCGAGCAGUGGGAAGCUGUGUUUUAAGCAGAAAUCUAAUAUAAUCGCAUGUGCUACCGUGCAUGAGAGUCUGCGCUUGGCUAAGUGCUGUAUGUUCAUUUUUUCAUCUGAUCCCCCCACAUCCCUGUGAGGGGAGUGGAAUCCUUACCCCCAUUUUACAGAUGCAAGUUGAGGCUCUGAGAGCUGAAAUGACUCGCUGUGUCCUUAAUACGGAUGGGAUAGGAAUCCUGCCUUCCGUCUUAGCCGGGGCAGUACAGACCCUCCCACAUGCCCACCCGGCAAAGCAGCAGGGCCCGAGGGGGGGCCGACCCCGCCUCCUUCCACCUGCCAUCCCUCCCGCUGCCCCCUUGCAGAGCCGGGGACCCCGCCUGUUUCCCAGGAAAUCCCCCGGUGGCAGGCACAAUGGGAUGGUUGGUCACCUGUCCUCGGGGGCUCGGGGCCCCACUGGCUGCUUAGACUGGGGCGCAGACAUCCAGGGCCGCCGCGCCCGCACACCUGGCCCCACGCCCACCCCCGCCCAGAC
rnacentral:lncRNA from 12 species